UAGGGAAUCUUCGGCAAUGGGGGGAACCCUGACCGAGCAACGCCGCGUGAGUGAAGAAGGUUUUCGGAUCGUAAAGCUCUGUUGUUAAGGAAGAACGAGUGUGAGAAUGGAAUGUUCAUACUGUGACGGUACUUAACCAGAAAGGGACGGCUAACUACGUGCCAGCAGCCGCGGUAAUACGUAGGUCCCGAGCGUUGUCCGGAUUUAUUGGGCGUAAAGCGAGCGCAGGCGGUUAGAUAAGUCUGAAGUUAAAGGCAGUGGCUCAACCAUUGUAGGCUUUGGAAACUGUUUAACUUGAGUGCAGAAGGGGAGAGUGGAAUUCCAUGUGUAGCGGUGAAAUGCGUAGAUAUAUGGAGGAACACCGGUGGCGAAAGCGGCUCUCUGGUCUGUAACUGACGCUGAGGCUCGAAAGCGUGGGGAGCGAACAGG
rnacentral:rRNA from 1 species